AUCCGAGAUUGGGUUUUAGCUGAGGGGGGAUGGCGAGGUGCCAGUGAGGGCCAGAAGGAAAUACAACCAUCUGAUCCAACACUGACCAAUGGCAGAGGCAGGAAUUGUCAAAUAGCACCCAGGAGGAGCGCAGCCCGCACGAGGGACCCGCGCACAAACCUAUCAACCUUUUUUUUUUUCCUCCUUCUCCUUCGCCUUUCUCCUCUCUCCCCCCAACAACACAACGCGUCCUGUUCCACCUACGUAGGAUCUGUGAAACAGGCUCAGUGCCUUUGAGGGAGGAGGGAACGUUUAGAUUGAGACCACCCCACUCCCGGGUGAUUAAAUAAAUAUGUCUCUCCCCCACCCCACGCAGGAUUGGAAAAAGUUAAUUGUGUUUUCAGAAAAGUUAACCCCUGCGUUGCUUCGACCCCUUCUCUCCGGGGAGGGUUGGGUAAAUGUCUCCGAAUCGCCUUGAGAGAGAACUAAAGAAGGUUUGUUUCUAGGGUUUUGUGUCGGUAGAAGGUGAGAAGAGUUCUCCGCUAAGAUAAGCAAAGAAGAAACACCCUCCUCCCCAGGUUUUGAACAUCGUUUUUCCUGUUUAUCAGAUCUGCUCUGUCUCCUCCAAGCCUCGGCUUAUUGUUCCUGCUUCUCCACAACCCUUCUGGUCUGAGGGGGCAGGCCAGAUCCCACUGCCUAGAAGACCCAGAAGAGGAGGAGCUGGCAGGAGGGACUGAGCCCAAGCUUCCCCUUCUGACUCUGUGGCUAGACUAGGAGCUUCUUGGAAGGCGGCGACGAGGGUGGCUGCCCAAAACAUUCUGCCUGGUUCUAGUAUGCAGCUGCUCACCCUUGGCAGGGGAAGGGGCACUGGGGAAAGGGACUAGCCCUCUCCUCACUUGGUGAUAUGGAGUGAAGGAGUGAGGGGUAUCCCUCAGCCUAGGUGGCUUUAUUUGUCUGAUCCCUAUCCUGCCUGCAACCCUCACUCCAGUACCCUCUACAAUCCCAAAAGACUUAAGAAUAGCCUGGGCUAUAGGAUUUUCAGGAAUCAGGGAUGUCCCAGUAAAUCUGGGCACAAGGAAGAAAUCAUUCUUCUUCCAGUUGUGGGCUUUGAACCCUCCUGAUAGUUGAGGCAGUCAGAGACCACUGGGAAGAAAUGCAUCCUCACUCCUCUUCUAAGUCUCUGUAGGAGCUGCCAGUUCUUUUUAAAAUUAAUUCUUUCCCAAGACUUGGUUUUUGCUUUAGUUUGAUAGGGAGAGAAGGUCGUUUGCGUUCUCUUGGGGACUCAGCAGGCUGCUUCCAGCCAUCAGCCAGCAUCCCCUCUCCCUUCUGUCUGUAUCUCAGCAUCGCUACAAUUCCCUCCCACACCCCGUGUUUGUAUCAUCAGCUUUGCCGCCUUACAAAUUUAGGUGUGUCAGAGAAUGUAUGUCUCUGGCUCUUUCAUCCAAGGAAAAUAAGCAUUGAGCCCAGGCUGGGAGACAGGGCCACAGUGCAUUCCCAACAUUCUAAUAUACAUACACAGGCCAAGUAGUGAAGGGUGACAACCUUCACACCUGGGGACAAGAAGGGGCCAGGGCAUGGAACAAAGUCAGAUGUCAGGCCAGGCUGACCCUCCUCUGCCUUGUCCUUCCUUUGGGCUCCUUUUUCUGGCCAAGUUCUGCCCACUGAAGAUGGUACAAGACACUAGGGAAGGUGGCAGGGGACUGAGCUUGGAUCACCAAGGGUGGGAACUUAUUUGGUUGCAACGUGGUCUCCAAGGCUCUCUAAACUCAGGGCAACUUCUUGGCUGUACCUUAAUGGCAAAAUAGCCAUCCCUAGAUGGCCUCCAAUUACUUCCUAACCUGACUCUGUGGGAGUGUUUGAUAAGCAUUUAAGAAAACAAAUUUAAACCCCCUGAUAAUGAAGAAGGAUAAAUAUUCCAUAUCUAGGUAUGGCUGGGCUUGCUUCUAGAGAGGACUAGGGGCCAUUUGAACAGGGGGAGAAAAGUGGGAGAGAGUACCUGCAUGCACCUCCCUGCCUACUGCUGAGGCUGAGCCCUGGGCCUCAGCCUUCCCUGCCUCCUCCCUGCCCACAAUGUCUCCAUCCUAGCACUAAAUAGUGUGGUUUUCUCAGUGAAGUCUGAACAAAAUAAGAUCUGGUGAGGAAGGGAGCAUUUCCCUGUGUCAGAAGCAGGGAAAUAAUUGCCUUAUCUUUAGAGUCACAGCCCCCAAAUUAACCUCACCUCUGCAGGUUGCUUGUCUGGAGAUGGAGCCACUACAGGCGGGCCUGGGCGCCUGGAGUCGGGCAUGAAAGAAAAUAGCGCCUCAUCGCUCUUAUCUAAGCCCAGAGGUAUUUAUGAGCGUUUAUUCGUCUGAUCCGUUUGUUUGGGAAAAAGAGCAGGCGGGCAGGGCAGGCCAGAGACCGACUCCUUUCUGGAGCCAGAUCCCUACGAAUCUGUCUGUGGUUCGGUCCACCGCCCUCUGUCUGUCUCCUUGGGGGAAUAUGUAAAUACACAGCGGGCUCAGCCAUCCGCCAGUCUGGGGUGUCUCUCCCUGCCUCAAUGAGGAAGUGUGUGUUCAGAGAGAUGGAUAGAAGUGUGUACCAAUUCUUGAGUACAUAACAGAGGGAUUGUACAGAUACCCCACAGGCAGGAUUUAUAAUUGUAAUUUUCUAUGCUGUGAGUCUGCAGUCCUGUGGGCAAGCUAACACAUUCCAGCUCCCAGGAAAAUGUUUCCUAAGUUGUGUUCAGUUCGGGAGUAAAAUUCUUGAUAGGUAACCUCAGGAGGGAUAUUUGCGUGUGUGUGUGUGUGUGUGUGUGUGUGUGGUGUGGUGUGGUGUGUGUGGGAGGGUGCUGAGACAUUGUCCAGGCUUCCAAUUUCCUCUAAGCUAUAAAGCCCUCUCCCUCAGCUCUUUGAGGUGAUGAGCACCUUCUCCCACCACCCCCAACUUUGGCUGGGGUGGGGUGGGAUGAAAAUAUUUCAACUCAAUUCUCGUCCUGGACUCUGUUUCUCUGGGUUUGGGGAACAUAAAUAAAUGUUCCCAGGGGUACUGAGUGAUCACUCCCAUAGGUUGAGGGAGGCUGUUUAGAUGAGACACUUUGCCCUAAAAUCGGCCCCUCCAAAUCAAAGUACAAAGACUUCAUUUUCAUUAUGCAAAGGAGCGGCAUCCUCUUUGAUCUUUAGGGGAGUGAGCAGUAGUGCUGAACCCACUCUCCCGGUUUCCUACCCGCAGGUCCAGGGGACAACCUGAGGGCCCUGAAGUGUUUCAAUACCAUGUACCAGCUUGACUUCUCUACAUGUCCUUUGGAUUGCCCAAAAGCAAAAUCUCAGAGGGGCCAAGGACCUUCUAGGGCUGGCUCCCUCAGGGCCUCCUAUAGAGCAGCUCCUUGAGUCGGGCCUUAUAGCCACCAGAAAGUCACCUCGCCGCAGGAAAGCUAUAAAGAGCUGCUCCAGAGGCGCCGAAAGAGGGUGAGGGCUGCAGCCACAGUGUUUGUCCCCAGCACCACCAGGCCCCUUAACCUCGUCAGCUCCUCUAGCCCUCGGCCAGACUCUGGCAACACCUUGGUUUGCCUGGCACCGCAGGCAAUUUCCUGGAACCCCACCCCCACCCAGGAACGGGGACCACAGCACCUUUAAAGGAACUGCCAGAGCUUCCUCCUACGGCUUGAAAGCCCAAGCUAAUCAGUAACCCGUGAGACAGGGGCCAAUAUUCAAACGCUGCAGCAGAGGCGCAUAGCCUAGCCCUGGCCACCCCCUCUUGGGAAGGAGGUCGAGUUAAGCCGGUGUGGAGGGUCCAACAGGAACGGAAAUUACGACGGUGUGGUUCCUUAAGGAUUUGGCCCCAGUCCCACUACCAAAUUUUUCCCAAAUCAUAUUUAGGUAGACUUCGCUUGAAAAGAUCGAGAAUGGAGGAGGGGAUCGGCACUCACUUGCAGACAUCAACAGUUUCCAGAAAAUUCGGUUCAAUUCCUUCACCACGGACCCACCAACCAAGGAGCUGGCAAAACCCACUAACCAACCAGGAGAACACAGACCCGGUUUGUCUUUUGACAACCGAGUGGAACUGACGGGGCCGGCGCCUGCCCUGCGGGUCCCCUCCCUUGGCUGAGAAGAAAACCAAAUAAACCUUGAACAGCCUUGGCUUCGGAUGUCUCAAGCGGCCUCAUCCUCUCCCGCGCCUUGGUGGGGUGGGGGUGGGGAUGGCGGUGGGGGUGUCGGCUCUGAUCCCUCCACCCUUUGAUUCAGGGCCCCUGCCCGCUGGAAGCAGAAUUAGACCUUUUUAUAUAUGCCCUAGAGGAAGCCGCUUCCCUUGCCAGCCGCCAGCCGUUUCCUCUCCCUCGCCGGCCUCGGCGGAGAUUCCAGGCCCUAUAGAAACCAGGACGUCCCUUAGCGCCACCGCCUCACAUGCCAGUGCUGCCGGGAACCCAGCGAUAUCCGCACCAGCGGAGAAGGUUCCAGGCUGCCGGCGGCGGCGCAGAGAGCGGGAAGAGAGGCUCGGAGGAAGCCCCGGGCGUGGCGUGGUCAGGCUCCGAGAGCGGCCGGGAUGCGGCCACACCGGCCUGGUAAACUCGCACCUCUUAGGAUCUUGCUCCCGGACUCAUUCCCUUCCCCACCCCCUAUUUUAAAGUUUUAUUUGGGUCGUCUGUAUCAAUUUAGAACGAGAUAAAUUAAGACAAAGAAAGUAAAAUAAAUCGAAAUAAAAUAUAGGAAUAGCUCUUGGCGAAAAUGUUUGCCGUGCGAGCAGGAAGCCGUGAGCGCCCUAGUUGGAGGCUGCUCUGCGCCGACUAAGAGGCCUCUACUCCCAGGCCUGGCCUCUACGCAACGCCACCCAAGAAGCCAGAGUGAAUUUGGGUGUUCAUUUUCCCUUUCCUUCCGCUCUUCCUUCAUGUGGGGCCUAGCAGCUUGGAUUUCAGCUCCGUCUUUGUGCCUGGGCUGCAGCCCAGAUCCAGAUCCCGCAGCUUGGUUUCCAGGCCUGAAUGAGGACGCGGGUUUGUGAAACUGUGAGGUUUUUGUUUUGUUGUUUUGUGAGCUUGUGUGACUAAGCAUGUGGGCUUCUGAGUGCGUUUACUUGGGGGCAAAUGUGAAUCUGUGUUUAUAAGCCAAUGUGUGAAUGUACGUUGGUAUCAAUGUGUCUGUGAGUGUGAAUGUGUGUUUACUUGUGAGCGUGUGUGAACAUGAAUGCCUA
rnacentral:lncRNA from 1 species